rnacentral:lncRNA from 1 species
AAGUAUCUUUAUAUUCAUUAGGCAAAAUAAAGGUCUAAAUUAUUUUAAGUAGUCAUACUAUGGUGUGGCAGAGAAUUAUAAAUCUUAAUAUUGUUCAUGCUGUGGUUUCAUAUAUGAUAUCUUUUAAACUAACAAAUUGUAGACACUGAAAAUUUAUUACUUCUGAAGAGAAAUAUUGAUUAUUAUAAUUUUUAAUGGAAGAUUUAAAAACAAGAUAUCUUGAUAUCCAGCAAAACUUUCUAAAACUAGAACUUAAAAUUAAGGGCCCAGAUUGUUUGUUUUUUUUUUUUUUUGGUGGAAAGGCAUACUUUAAAUAUGGGCACAUAAAUAUUGAAAGCAAUUUGAGAUGUCCCCUCUCUCUGGUUCCCAGGCAGGAAAUGUAUAACAGAAACACCUGUGGAGCUCUCUGAAAAUAUUUUGGUGGGGGAUUUGGUUUUGGCAGCUUCUUUCCAAAAUUUAACAUUUAUACACUGCAUGUAUAACUAAAACUUAGUACCAUUUUCUUGUGCAUAAAACUCCUAUUUUAGGAAUAUUCCAUGGCUUGAAUUAAACAAUGUGUAAAGUUAUUUUUACACGUAGUAAGCAUUUAGUGCUAGUGUUUACUCACCACUUCCAUUCAUAUGAAGAGUUUAGAAACUAAUCUUUGUCCUUAGCGGCAGUGGAUAAUUUACAGUACUUUUACCUUAUUAGAAUAUAUAACCUGAUUUUGUUGUUUUUUUUUUUAAGUCUUCUAUUCAAGUCACUAAACUUUAUAUUCAUAUAAGGUUUAAUCCACAGCAUGUCAUGAUGCUGGCCUUUGAUAACUUUUUUCAAGAGUCCUUGGACAGAUGACUGUGACCAUUGUGGCCAUAUUCUUACCUAAUCCACACAUUGGAGAACGUGUUUAUCAAGUUUAUGAGUUAUAUUUCCACUAAUCUUCGUAAAAGUAAUUAUCUUGCUUAUUAUUACAUGAAAUAAAUGUUGCACGUGAACAAGCAUUUUUUAAUAAUGAGUCUGUUUAUUACUGAACUAAGUUUAUACGUUAGCAAGGGUUUCAGUAAAAUAAGAUUUGUGUUAAAUAAUCUUCAGAAGUGGUAUUCUGUGGUGAUAAAAAUUGCUUUAGGGUUGCAUUUAUAUCGCUGCGGUCAUACCAAGGGUCAGGAUAUAGGUUUUUAGUUGGCAAAACCAUCAAGGACUCCAUUUAGAAGGGUAUUUUUAAUAAAAUUUAUUGAGUAUUUUAAUUACAGCCCUCUGCUUUCAUGUAUUUUUGCUAGCAAAAUAGUCUUUGACCAUAGGUUUAAUGCACUCUCACUACAAGGAGAGAAGGGUUUUGAGGGUGGAGAGACUUGAACCUGUAGUGUGGCAGGCAUUCUACAAAAUAUAUUUUCAGAAAUACCCUAUGUGGUAGGCUUUGUUAUCUUUUCUUUACAAGUGAAGAGGCGAAUUCAAAAGAUGCCUAUGGUUGGUUACACAGCUUUUGAUUUGCAUAGGUAUUCGAACCCAGGUUUUGCUGACUUCAAUGCUUUACCUUAAAAGAUGCUUUUUUAGAAUGGUAGAUGUUAAUAGAUGGUCUGUGUAAUUAGUUUCCUGGGCCUCCUGCAACAACAUAGAAAAAAAUGGGUAACGUAACAUUUAUUCUCUCACAAUUCCAGAGGCCAGAAGUCCAAAAUCAAGGUGUCAGCAGGGCGAUGCUCUCUGAAGGCUCUAGAGGAGAAUCCUUCCUUACCUCUUCCAAACUUGUGGCAGUUCUCAGCAGUCCUUGGUGUUCUUGGCUUGUAGAUGCAUCACUCCAAUAUCUGCCUCCAUCACCCCCCAGCUGUCUUUCCUCAUAUGUUUUUGCAUCAUCUUACCUCUGCGUCUGUGUUCAAGUUUUCUUCUGCUUAUGAGGACAUCGGUUAUAUUUGUUUAGGAGCCUACCCUAUUCCAGUGUGAUCUCAUCUUAGUUACAUCUACCAUGACCUUAUUUCCAAAUAAGGUUACAUUUUCAGACAUGGUAGUUAAGACUUUAACGUAUAUUUUUGGGGUUGAGAGGACACAAUUCAGUUGGUAACAGCUAUGACAAAAUUGGGUAAAUUGAUGAACAUCUUAAAAAAAACACAGUGGAAGAGGCAGGCACUGUAGAGUGACAAAAUACAUCUUUAUAGAAAUUCCAUGUUAAAAUUAUUUUGUGUUAUAAUAAUCAAAUUUAAAUACCUAAUACAUAUAUUACCAUUAAACAGGAUAGUCAGCACUACCUAGUUUUUUAGCUGAAUUUGUAAUGUCCAUAUGUUUAUGUUUCUUUAGUAAUACUUGAACUAAAGGAAUUUGCAAAGAAAACCCAAUAAUAUUAGUAUUACAUCAAAAAGUUACUGUGUAUUUUUCUUCCAUCAAGAAAUAAUGCUGACUUUUAAAGGUGGAGGAGUUUUUAGACUUCAGUAAACAUAGGUACCCUGAAAAUGUGCACUGUUGUAUCUUUUCACUUUUGUAUGUCAGUGCUUUGAAAGAAUGGACAAUGUUAUCAUUUUGUUUUGUCUGCUUAUUAAAAUUUUCUCCCUAGU